CUGAAGGCUAGGUUAGGGCUGCUGGUGAUGCCAAGGUGUCUGAGCCAAAUUCAGUUAUGGUAGAAUGCCCAUUCCUGCUAAGCAAAGAUGUGUGGUUCUCCAGGGCAAAUUGAGGGCUUAAGGCAGGGAGAGGAGAGGAGAAGGCAGAGGGUAGCAGGGCAGGGUCUGGCUUUUGAAUGGACUUGCUUUACCUGGCUGCUGCUGCAGCCUACAUUAAUGUGCUACAUAAAGAAUGAGAGUUCCUGCUUGCUGUGCCGUUGGCCCUUGUGGAGUCUUUAUCAACCCUGACAAAUCUUUGUUUAAACUUCUGCUCCGUGAUGGAGAAAAUUUCUCCUCCUCAGGUUGUUCCACUUCCUUCUGUUGAGAAGGCUCUCUAAACCCUAACCUGUGAUUUAAGCCCAUCAUUCACUACUUCCACUCCUGGUGGCUGAUGAUUCACAGUUUAACAGAUAUCCCUGCACAAAGGCUGUGCUGGUGAGGGCUCAUGGAAAGAAGACAGUGAACUAGCAGAUGCCUGUGUCACCAAAGGGUAGGCAUUUUCAAAUGUAUAUAUGAAACCCGAGCCGGGAGAGGAAAGGGAAUCGGAGCACAAAAAGAUCAAAAAGGAUGCUGUGAAGGAUGAGUCAAAAGUAACUGCAGCAGAACUGAACAGCCAUCAUCUGUUUGGUGAUGAGAGAGAAAGGGGAAAAGUGAGGGAACAUUUCAGUGGAGUGGCUGAGCUCUGACUUUAUCUGUUUGUAAGCCCAGGGAGAGAAGGCAGCCCCAGUGCUUAGUGCUGGGAUGUGAUGUACGGCGUGCUGUGCUAAGACGCUGCGGAGGUUUCUUUACACUGAACAGCAAGGGGGUGGCUUUGAGCUCUGCUUCUUGUCAGCUGUGAACACUGUGAGCGAUCCUGGUUUAACUCCGCUUUCCUCCUCGCCGUGCUGUCCUUACCACACUCUCAUCCUUAAAAAGAAAAAAAAAAACUCAAAAGCGUGACAACGUGUCAGUGCUGUACGAAUGCAAGGAAACGAACACGGGAUGAAGGAAGAGCAGAAUGGAUGCAUCACAGGCAUGCUGCAGUCACCCAUCGCCCAGCAAAACUGGUUUUGUCUGACAAAAAACCAGAACCACUGCCAGGACAUUUCGCUUCGGUUUAGGUUUAUUUGCUAGAAUUGUUUGUGGUUAGGAACGAGAGCAAGGUUCACUUGUAAUAAUAACGUAACCAUGGCAAUAUGUAAGACAAGCUGAUGUCAGUCUGAUUCGCUGAUAAGAUUUAUGUCCUAAUAUAUUAUCCAAUGCAAUUAAGAAAUGAUUAGAAAAUUAACAUUAGAAUAGAUUAAAAUAAAGUAUUAGAGGUCUCGUGGCAGCUGUGGGUCUGAAGCACGGUCCCCAAGUGGUUGUUUCUGGAUAAUGUAUCACCCUGCCCCAGACGUGCUGCGUUACAGCAAGGAAAGCAAUUGCCUUCAUUUUACAAACAGGGAAUUGUAACGUUCCUCUUAAUUUCUGCAAUUUCCUGCACUCGUUUCAGCGUGGCCAGACAGAAAUUAACCCAG
ensembl:lncRNA